UAGGGAAUCUUCCGCAAUGGACGCAAGUCUGACGGAGCAACGCCGCGUGAGUGAAGAAGGAUUUCGGUUCGUAAAACUCUGUUGUUAGAGAAGAACAGUGCAUAGAGUAACUGUUAUGCGUGUGACGGUAUCUAACCAGAAAGCCACGGCUAACUACGUGCCAGCAGCCGCGGUAAUACGUAGGUGGCAAGCGUUGUCCGGAUUUAUUGGGCGUAAAGCGAGCGCAGGCGGUCAAUUAAGUCUGAUGUGAAAGCCCCCGGCUCAACCGGGGAGGGUCAUUGGAAACUGGUUGACUUGAGUGCAGAAGAGGAGAGUGGAAUUCCAUGUGUAGCGGUGAAAUGCGUAGAUAUAUGGAGGAACACCAGUGGCGAAGGCGACUCUCUGGUCUGUAACUGACGCUGAGGCUCGAAAGCGUGGGUAGCAAACAGG
rnacentral:rRNA from 1 species